rnacentral:tRNA from 1 species
GGGGAUUUAGCUCAGUUGCAUAAGCACCUGCCUGGUAAGCACGUUGUCGUGAGGUCAAUCCCCG